rnacentral:misc_RNA from 1 species
GGAGUCUACAAUGGCGAAUCCCAAAAUUUAAUCCGCCAUAGCCCAAAAGCUUCCUUCAAUGUUCUUCAUCCAACAUUUCUCUGGUCAAUUCGAAUUCCUCUAAUUCCUGAAAAGAAUCCCAUUUCUCCAAUGUCUUGCUCUUCAUCUUCUACUGUAUACUUUCCUCUUCAUAAACCACUCAACAAAUCCACCCCUUUUUCUCCCAAUUCUCAAGUUUUUUCAUCAAAAGGAAGAAUUUUAGGCCGACCCAUUAGAUGCGAAUCAUUGGAACUGAAACCCAAAUCGCCACCCUCAAAUGGGUCGGUGUAUCCAGGCGGAAUGGGGCCGUACACAGGGAGAGAUCCGUCGGUGAAGAAACCAGGUUGGUUGAGGCAAAAAGCACCACAAGGGGAGAAGUAUGAAGAGGUGAAGGAAACGCUAUCUGGGCUUAAACUUAACACUGUUUGUGAAGAAGCUCAGUGUCCUAAUAUUGGAGAAUGUUGGAAUGGUGGUGGAGAUGGUAUUGCUACUGCUACAAUUAUGCUUCUUGGAGAUACUUGUACGCGUGGGUGUAGAUUUUGUGCUGUUAAGACUAGUAGAAAUCCUGCUCCUCCUGACCCUAUGGAACCUGUUAACACUGCUAAAGCUAUUGCCAGUUGGGGUGUGGAUUACAUUGUCUUAACUAGUGUUGAUCGUGACGAUAUACCUGAUGGAGGGAGUGGUCACUUUGCUGAAACAGUCAAAGCAAUGAAGUUGCUCAAGCCUGAUAUCAUGGUCGAGUGUUUAACUUCUGAUUUCCGUGGUGAUCUAAGUGCCGUGUCUACUCUAGUGCACUCUGGAUUGGACGUUUUUGCACACAACGUUGAAACUGUGAAACGACUUCAACGCAUUGUUAGAGAUCCUAGAGCAGGGUAUGAACGAAGUCUAUCUGUGCUUAA